rnacentral:sRNA from 1 species
UCCCCUCUGUCUCCCAUCUAAGCCUUCGUUUGUGUUGCGUUUAGUUCCAAUUAUUUUAUUCCUGGCCCCUGUCUACAAGUACCCUGUAGAUGAACAACCCGCCAUCGGUAGGCCAUCGGCGCACGGCGCAGGUAGGUUAGGUUGGUGGCGAAAUAUGUCGAAAACCAAGACACAUCUGCGCUAAAUAAUAGUGUGGAGGAUGUAAAAUUCGCUUGUCGAAGCAUCAAGAUCAAAAAGUCAAGAACAUGAUGACGCUUGGUUAGGCUCACCUGUAUCAAAUCCUAAAUUUAAUGAAUCCAU